rnacentral:sRNA from 1 species
GAGACUGAUGUGGAGAUAUAUAAAUAAACGAAGUGCCGUGAUAAAAGCAAACACAGCAAUAAAACAAAAAUGGCUGGGCAUGGUGGCCCAUGCCUGUAAUCCCAACACUUUGGGAGGCCGAAGCGGGUGGAUCACCUGAGGUCAGGAGUUCCAGACAAGCCUGGCAAAACCCCGUCUCUACUAAAAAUACAAAAAUUAGCCGGCGUGGUGGCACACGCCUGUAGUCUCAGCUAGUCAGGAGGCUAAGGCAGGAGAAUCAUUUGAACCUGGGAGGCGGAGGUUGCAGUGAGUCGCAAACGCACCACUGCACUCCAGCCUGGGUGACAGAGCGAGACUCUGUCUCAAAACAAAACAAAACAAAACAAAAAACCUAACAAAAACAAUAGCUACCGUUUACUAGACACUCACUACAUACCAGGCACUGUGCCAAACAGCUCCUUCUUAUCAGCUCAGGGUGCUGGGGGUGCCAGGGAGGGAAGGUCAGUGAAACUGUGGCAGGUGUCGGUUAAGCAAAAGAAGGCUGGCAUCGGUGCAGCUGGGGGCAGGCCUUACCUCCUCCAACCCCCUUGGCCAGGAGCAUCACAGGGCAGGCCUGAGCUUCCACAAGGUGGCAGCCUUGUGCUUUGUUCUGGUGCUGGGCUCCCUCGUGCCCUGCCUUCCCGAGUUCUCCUCCGGCUCCCAGACUGUGAAGGAAGACCCCCUGGCCGCAGACAGCGUCUACGCGGCCAGCCAGAUGCCCUCCCGAAGCCUCCUAUUCUACGAUGACGGGG